AAGACAACUUUUGAUCCUAUGGAAGUUUAAAGGCCCAAAUAAUAUAACAUUUACGAAGAACAUCUAUUGUAAAAUUGACGCUGAUCAAAAAAGCGAUUUGCUCCAUGGGAAAUAACGUUAAAUGUACCGUGGAUUUUCCGCUAAAGUUAUGAAUCACUGUGAUUUCUCCAUAGAACGACCAACCCCAAUCGGAAGGAUACACUGAAAGAGCAAUUAAGACGUCUAAAUCUAAGAAGUCAACCUAAAUUAAUCCGACAACAAGCUGUCGUGCUGACAGUUCCACCCGCUACUGUUGCAAAAGGUUUCGGGUCAAAUGUUGAGUCUUCCCAUUUCCCCCGUACCCUCAUCUUCACCUCAAGGCGGAAACUACGAUGUAUUCAAACGACAAAGCAUAUGCGUGGGUUCAUGCAAAGUGCGUGCACCGACGUUUACUAACCUGGCGAGCGAUGUGAGGGACAUUGACCAAUUACGACACAACAAAUCCUGACAAUUGAAUAGAUAAGUAUCCCCUCCUGCACUUUCAUUCACUGAUAAAAAGCUUUAAAAAUACAUAUUUUUAAAGAGAGCGUAACCGACUUAGACGAAUAAGUGUUAAUGAAACCUCAUUCUUAGAUGUAGUUCAUGUUGCGACAGCUAAAAUGCAAUAUUUAUUUCAGUGGGUGGGGAAUUACCUGAACAAUGACUUUUAAAUAAUUAAUGACUUUUAAUUAUAUGUAGGCUACUGUUUAGAAUAGGCUAUGAACUGGCUAAAUGCUUUUUAAUAUUACCUUCUUUUAAAACAACAGUUACACGGAUCAAGAUAAACAGUGGUAUUUAGUUUAAUAAAGUCUGUUUUUUCAUUAUUAUUAUUAUUAUUAUUAUUAUAUUUCAUCAUUUAUCAAUAGGCCUAUAGAACAAGAAAAGAACGAAUGAUAACAUCACCCUGGACAUGUUCCAUACGUGUUUUAGUCAAGCAUGUGACAUUACCUGCCUAUGAUAUCCUUUGUAACAAAAGCCCUGUGUCUGUUUCUCCUAACAUUUUUGCUAUCAUAUCAUACCGUGCACAUAAUCAUGUAGAAAUGCAACUACAUGUCAAUGUCAAAUAUAUAUUCAUAUUUAGCUGAGGGGCUGGUCCGAGGGAAAAGUUUAAUCUCCAUUGAAAGCCCUUGAAGAAUCUCUUCAAUUUACCAUGUGGCUCAAAAGAUUAUAUAAUCCUUAAGCAGUUUUGAAGCUUAUUUCUGAAUGUUACAUAAAAAUGUCAUCUUUGCAGGACUGUUGUACUCACACCCCUGGGAAUAAGACAUUGUGAUAAACUAACCAUACAGAUGGAUGUAGCAUUCUUAUCCAUACUGCAAGUCCUCCUUCCAUCAACAUCCAGAAUAAGAAUCAUCUGCUUGAACUGAAUCACCGGCCUGCAGCUGUCUCCUCUUGGUGUCUCCAACACACACACUUGCCAUGCUUGCAUUCGGACUUUAAGCUGAACUGCAGUUCAAACACCUCCAUGCCAUAUUAAGCCUGGGGAUGAGGUCUUCUAUAAAGCUCUUCUAUAAAGUUGCCCUUCUGACGGUCAAGAAUGACUACACAAAGCAUAUACCUUAGGGAGUGCUUGGUCAGUUAAAACACUGAAGAAAGUGUUUUUUAUUAUUAUUCUAAACUCUUUCAAAACUUAACUCUUUAAUGUUUAUUUAAAACAACUUUUACACAUCAUACAUUAUAUGACAUAAGGAAUAACAGAAGUGUUGAAGCAUAAUAUUAUUUUAAAAACUGUCGUAAUGCUUAAUUGUUUUUAAGCCACAAGAUGUGAUGAAUUACAAAACAGCGAAACAUCCUGAAACACUUUAAGAUUUCAGAUGCCUGCCGGGGAAGAAUUCACCAUGAAAGUAUCUUCAAAUAAAUAAAUAACACAA